rnacentral:rRNA from 1 species
UACGUAGGUGGCAAGCGUUGUCCGGAUUUAUUGGGUUUAAAGGGUGCGUAGGCGGCCCUGUAAGUCAGUGCUGAAAUAUCCCAGCUUAACUGGGAGGGUGGCAUUGAUACUGCGGGGCUAGAGUACAGAUGAGGUAGGCGGAAUUGACGGUGUAGCGGUGAAAUGCUUAGAUAUCGUCAAGAACACCUAUAGCGAAGGCAGCUUACUAGUCUGUAACUGACGCUGAGGCACGAAAGUGUGGGGAUCAAACAGG